rnacentral:rRNA from 1 species
CCUACGGGGGGCAGCAGUGAGGAAUAUUGGUCAAUGGACGAGAGUCUGAACCAGCCAAGCAGCGUGAAGGAUGACUGCCUUCUGGGUUGUAAACUUCUUUUAUAUGGGAGUAAAAUGUUCCACGUGUGGGACUUUGUACGUACCAUAUGAAUAAGGAUCGGCUAACUCCGUGCCAGCGGCCGCGGUAAUACGGAGGGUCCGAGCGUUACCCGGAUUUAUUGGGUUUAAAGGGAGCGUAGGUGGAUUGUUAAGUCAGUUGUGAAAGUUUGCGGCUCAACCUUAAAAUUGCAGUUGAAACUGGGAGUCUUGAGUGCAGUAGAGGUGGGCGGAAUUCGUGGUGUAGCGGUGAAAUGCGUAGAUAUCGCGAAGAACACCAGUUGCGAAGGCAGCUCACUGGACAGCAACUGACGCUGAGGCUCGAAAGUGUGGGUAGCAAACAGGAUUAGAUACCCCAGUAGUC